rnacentral:lncRNA from 1 species
GCUUCCCUUUUGUUAGAUACACUUGAUGAUAUAGGCUUCAUCUGAAGGUCUUUAAUCUUGAUUACAGGUGAAAAAGACUUGUGCACUUUUCUCCCAGGACGUGGUUUAUACAGCAUUGUUGAUGAAGCUUUUGGAACAGAUACUCCCCUGCAAACUGGUUUACAUCUCUUUUGAACUACUGGUUCUUCAACCAUGGUGGAAGAGGCCAGAGGAUUUGAACCUUGACCCUUUG